rnacentral:rRNA from 1 species
AGCUCCAAUAGCGUAUAUUAAAGUUGUUGCGGUUAAAAAGCUCGUAGUUGGAUCUCAGUGUUAGACGAUCGGUCCGCCGCCCGGCGCGACUGAUCGUACUGCACCGUCCGCCGUUGCAGUCUCCAGUGCUCUUCAUUGAGUGUUGGACGAUUGCCGGUACGUUUACUUUGAAAAAAUUAGAGUGCUCCAAGCAGGCGUUUCCGCCUGAAUAUCUGUGCAUGGAAUAAUGGAAUAGGACCUCGGUUCUAUUUUGUUGGUUUUCGGAACUCGAGGUAAUGAUUAAUAGGGACAGACGGGGGCAUUCGUAUGGCGACGCUAGAGGUGAAAUUCUUGGACCGUCGCCAGACGAACUACUGCGAAAGCAUUUGCCAAGAAUGUUUUCAUUAAUCAAGAACGAAAG